rnacentral:rRNA from 1 species
UCCUGGCUCAGGAUGAACGCUGGCGGCGUGCCUAAUACAUGCAAGUCGUGCGAGGUAGCUUGCUACCUAGCGGCGAACGGGUGAGUAACACGUAGGUAACCUGCCUUUAAGACUGGGAUACCCAGAGGAAACUUUGGCUAAUACCGGAUAACAACGGGUGCGGCAUCGCAUCCGCUUGAAAGUCGCGUUUGCGGCACUUUUAGAUGGACCUGCGGAACAUUAGCUAGUUGGUGAGAUAACAGCCCACCAAGGCGAGGAUGUUUAGCCGACCUGAGAGGGUGAACGGCCACAAUGGGACUGAGACACGGCCCAUACUCCUACGGGAGGCAGCAGUAGGGAGUUUUCGGCAAUGGGCGAAAGCCUGACCGAGCAACGCCGCGUGAGUGAGAAGGUCUUCGGAUUGUAAUACUCUGUUGUAAGGGAAGAAGGCUUGCUUCAGGAAAUGGGAGCGAGAUUGACGGUACCUUACCAGAAAGGGACGGCUAACUACGUGCCAGCCGCGGC